UUAACCAUUUUCAUUUAUAACGGAGGCCUGCAGCAAAGAGCAAAUUUAGGGAUUCGUGUUCAGUACACUGCAUGGUCACUUUUAUGAAAGGACUGAUUACUUGCAAAAGAUGAGAUGGUAUUCAGGUUUCAACGGUACCCAAAAAGAACAAGGAAACUGAAGAAGCAUUUGUAAGAUUAAUGUCACAGCGAUGAUGAUGUGCCGUUCAGAGAUUUGAAGGCUCUGCUAAAACGUUUUUCUGUCCUGGAAUUUGAGGCUUAACGCUGUACUAGUUUCAUCCAAUUCAAGGGCCUCUACCUAGAAAACUGAAAAGCUGUAUAUUUUCUCUAUAAAGCAGAAUAUAUCGGAAGACCCAUGGCAUCAGUGUACAUCUUAAACUGAUCCUCAUGUAUACAAAGCUGGUCUUCAUUAAUUGCAGCAGUCUGUAUCUUCUCCACUCUCCGAGCAGGAUGAUGACGGGGGUAGCUUUGAGGAGGCAGACUGUCCCUUUUCAGUGUCUGUCAGCGCAGUCAGCAGCUUAAUGGUAUUCUGAACGCUUAGCGUUCAGUGCUCUCCCAGAUUUCUCCCGAUAUGCUAAGCUACUGUUUGCUCAGAAAUACUAUGAAAAGCAGGUUUGAAUCAAGCUUCUUAAAAAUUAUGUUAGUGCGUAUAUAAUCAUUUACACAUUCGAGUGGCGAAUUACUCAAAGUCUCUUAUUGGAGUACGUGGAAUAAAUCCACAGCCCCGUAGUCAAGUUGUUUUUCC